AUGGAUUUUAAAGAGUAAUUAAAGGACGAUUUUUUAAAUAAAUAUCCCGCCGCAGCGGGCUUCAACUUCCACGUGAAAGUACACGUGACCUCGUGGAACAAGACGAGCACAAGCUCCCAGUUCAAGGUCGGUCAGUACGUGAACAGCACGCGCCCAAUAACGGACCGAUGGAAGCACGUGACCAUGCCCGAUCGGUUGGCUCCUGGCGGCUAUCACACCCACAAGUUUACUCCUAACUUGAAUGCCGGGUUCAAAAGACACGUGGUGAGUGCGGACGACGCCGUUAUUCACCACUUCCGGUCCUGUCGCAAAGAGUGGCUCCAGGGGAAUUGCUCUUGCUAUCAGUGUGAACAAAGUACAGACGACACUGUCGCGAAACUGUUCGACAAAAUAGAACCGGAAGUGUUAAAACUCAGAGCUAAAAUAUUUGAUUCUGAUUGAGAAGGUGUGUCGCUCAUGGAACUGUUUUCUGUUAAACGUUUUUCUUCUUUGCAAUAAAUACGCAUUAAGUAUGAGUGUUUCAUAUGUUGCAGUUUUGUUUUCAACUACAUUUUUAUGUGAUUUUUAAUAUUGCAAGAACAUAUUUAUUAUUUAUUGGAUAUUUUAAAACCAUUUGUUUUUAAAACGAUAUUAAGAAGAAUUAACAUGCGACGGCAGAAC